rnacentral:rRNA from 1 species
GACGAACGCUGGCGGCAUGCCUAAUACAUGCAAGUCGAGCGAACAGACGAAGUGCUUGCACUUCUGACGUUAGCGGCGAACGGGUGAGUAACACGUAAGGAAUCUACCUAUAAGCGGGGGAUAACAUUCGGAAACGGGUGCUAAUACCGCAUAAUAUCUUCUUCCGCAUGGAAGAAGAUUGAAAGACGGCUCUGCUGUCACUUAUAGAUGACCUUGCGGUGCAUUAGUUAGUUGGUGGGGUAAAGGCCUACCAAGACGAUGAUGCAUAGCCGACCUGAGAGGGUGAUCGGCCACAUUGGGACUGAGACACGGCCCAAACUCCUACGGGAGGCAGCAGUAGGGAAUCUUCCGCGAUGGGCGAAAGCCUGACGGAGCAAUGCCGCGUGAGUGAAGAAGGCCUUCGGGUCGUAAAACUCUGUUAUAAGAGAAGAACAAAUUGUAGAGUAACUGCUACAGUCUUGACGGUAUCUUAUCAGAAAGCCACGGCUAACUACGUGCCAGCCGCCGCCGUAA